rnacentral:rRNA from 1 species
GUAGGGAAUAUUGGGCAAUGGAAGGAAUUCUGACCCAGCCAUGCCGCGUGCAGGAAUACAGUCCUAUGGACUUUAAACUGCUUUUAUUAUAGAGUAACCUGGGGGACGUGUCCCCCACUGCAAGUAUAUAAUGAAUAAGCAUCGGCUAACUCCGUGCCAGCAGCCGCGGUAAUACGGGGGAUGCAAGCGUUAUCCGGAUUUAUUGGGUUUAAAGGGUGCGCAGGCUGAUCGGUAAGUCAUGGGUGAAAAGUCACUGUUUAACAGUGAUCGUGCCUAUGAUACUGCCGGACUAGAGUUUAAGAGGUGUAACUGGAAUGUGAUGUGUAGCGGUGAAAUGCUUAGAUAUGUCACAGAACGCCAAUCGUGAAGACAGGUUACAAACUUAAUACUGACGCUCAUGCACGAAAGCGUGGGGAUCAAACAGGAUUAGAAACCCCUGUAGUCC